GGUSGGCADGUGGCUUAAUUUGACUCACGCGGGGAAUCUUACUAGGUCCGGACCGAUUCUAUGAUCGUCGUACUGUGGGGUGCUACGUGAUUACUGGAUGAGUGGUGCAUGGCCGUUCUUAGUUCGUGGUGUUAAUUGUCUACUUAAUUGUCAUCAGUUUAAUACAUGUAUUGAACUAUGAACGAACGAGAUCGAGACCCGUGGUUGCGUGUGUUUGAAUUCGGUAUUACUACGGGGAUCGCGUAUUACUCCMCGGUACGAUCGAAAGACUCGGCAAUAACAGGUCUGUGAUGCCCUCAGAUGUUCUAGGCUGCACACGUGCUACAGUGUGGUUCUGUUCAUAUGUGUAUGCGUAGACUUGAGAUCCCCCGCACCGAGUCAUAAYUGGUCACACGGUGGRCUCACCGAUUGGCAAUUAUUCGGUAUCUUAA
rnacentral:rRNA from 1 species